rnacentral:lncRNA from 1 species
CACUGAGUUGCUUAGCGCCUCACUUUUGCUAAGGCUGGCUUUGAAUGAUCCUCCUGCCUCAGCCUCAUCAUUGGGAUUACAGGUGUGUGCCACCACACUGGCUAGGUGCGGACAUUUCUAAUGAUGCCUGAACAUAGCAACUGCCCAAUAAAAAUUAAUCUCCCUUUUGAAAUGCCUCCCUCAAAAAACCAGUGCAACUGCCACUGACAGAUCAUUUCAAGAAAUAUCAAGUCCCUAUUAUGUUUGGUAUUAGCAGUUAUCAGUAACACGAUUUGAACUUUCAAUUGACUGAACUAAUUCAAAGGUAUACCCCCAAUGUUAAAAUGGGUCUCUGCUAUACUCAGCAAUACUCUCACCCUUAUGGAAACGUUUUUUGUUCUUUUAUGGUUUUUUUUUGUGUGUGCGUCUGUGGUUUUUUUUGUGUGUGUGUGUGUUUGUGUGCGUGUGUGAAGCUAGGGAUCAAAUCCAGGGUCCUUCACAUGCUAGCCAUGCUCUUUAAAACUGAGCUGUACAUGAUUCACAAUUAAGAACAGCAGCAAGUUAAGAGGACAGAAGAGGCUUUACCACGAAGCUACAUCCCUGGCCCUUUAUUUUGAGACAGGGGUCUCACCAGGUUUCCCAGGCUGCCCUCAAAUUUGCAAUCCUCCAACUUCAGCUGAGGAGUCAGAGUCACUGGGAUUAUAGUUGUGCACCAGUACAAGAUUUUGCAAUUCUAACAAACUCAAGAUAAUAAAAAUGGUAUUUAUGCAUGGGCCACACCCUGAGAAUGGUGGGAGUUUUCAACUAGAGCUACAGAUUAGAAACACCGGGAAAAGCUUUUAGUUGGGUAUGGUGGCUCACGCCUGUAAUCCCAGUGGCUCAGAAGGCUGAGGCACAAGGAUUGCAAGUUCAAAGCCAGCCUCAGCAACUGGUGAGGCGCUAAGCAACUCAGUGAGACCCUUCUCUAAAU